rnacentral:rRNA from 1 species
GCAGAACGCGAAGAACCUUACCUGGGUUUGACAUGGCCGCAAAACUGUCAGAGAUGGCAGGUCCUUCGGGGCGGGUCGACAGGUGGUGCAUGGCUGUCGUCAGCUCGUGUCGUGAGAUGUUGGGUUAAGUCCCGCAACGAGCGCAACCCUCGUUCGAUGUUGCCAGCGCGUUAUGGCGGGGACGUCAUCGAAGACUGCCGGGGUCAACUCGGAGGAAGGUGGGGAUGACGUCAAGUCAUCAUGCCCCUUAUGUCCAGGGCUUCACGCAUGCUACAAUGGCCGGUACAAUGGGCUGCGAUACCGUGAGGUGGAGCGAAUCCCAAAAAGCCGGUCUCAGUUCGGAUCGGGGUCUGCAACUCGACCCCGUGAAGUCGGAGUCGCUAGUAAUCGCAGAUCAGCAACGCUGCGGUGAAUACGUUCCCGGGUCUUGUACACACCG